AUGACGAGGACCCUCCUAUUAUUUCGCUUUCCUUGAGCGGGUCUCAUGAUUAAUCACUGAAUGUGGUGGCCCCUUUCACUUAUAAAAACGCUAUAUAAUGUUUUUAAUAUCUGGAGAUGGGAAGAUUGUGUCAGAUUCAUUAUUGUACGUUGUUACCACAUUGCAGACUAUGCAUUAUAAAAACCACUCAUGGAACGCGAUAUUUAUAGGAGGCGUUUUUCGAGGCAAACCAAGUACCAAAAAUGAUCCUCCCGCCUGGUCACCUCAAGAGAACCCGCUGAACUGAAGCAUCUCAAUAAGCGGAGGAAAAGAAACUAAA
rnacentral:rRNA from 1 species